AUUAUCCUUUUCUUGGAGUUGCAUAACUGUCCAGUGAACAUCCAGUGAGGGCAGUACUCUAACGCCUAAGCAACACAUGAGCAUCAGAACUUUGCUUUAUCUUGGUACAAUUUUUGGAAAA